UACGAGGGGGGCGAGCGUUGUUCGGAAUUAUUGGGCGUAAAGGGUGCGUAGGCGGUUUGGUAAGUCUUAUGUGAAAUCUAUGGGCUCAACUCAUAGUCUGCAUGAGAAACUGCCGGGCUUGAGUAUGGGAGAGGUGAGUGGAAUUCCUGGUGUAGCGGUGAAAUGCGUAGAUAUCAGGAGGAACACCUGUGGCGAAAGCGGCUCACUGGACCAUAACUGACGCUGAUGCACGAAAGCUAGGGAGCAAACAGG
rnacentral:rRNA from 1 species